UCUGCUGCUUUCUGCUGGCAUCA
rnacentral:miRNA from 1 species